CCCGGAACUGGCCAACACAAUGUCGGCCCCGCUCGCUGCAAUUUACUGCUGAUGGCAGGUAAUUCCGACGGCUGAUAAUCGCGGCAGCAUCCGGCGACCGACUGAUCCGCACAAUAAAUACGGAUACCUGGCCAGUCGGUGAUUAAUGAUCGCCAAACGUUGGUUCACCUACGAAUUUCCAAUAUUUGCAACUUUUUUUUUGAAUCGUUCGAAUCUUCGCAUUAUGAGGGCCCUCGUAAUUGUCUCCAUUGCGAUCUUCUGCCUAGCCUUUCUCUUUGUUCAGACCGAAGCAGUUCCCCAAUUGCAAAUUGUGGAUUUGAUGAACAAAUUCGGUGGCCAGGACUCGCUGCUUCGCACCAUGACACCAUUUGUACACGUAGCUGAUUCAGGAGUUUGAGACACUGAUCAGACAAGGGAAAAGCGUCAACCAAGCCAUUCCAGAACUAAUAAAACUGCUACCAAGUAUGAUGUCGUAAAUUUCCAGUCGGCCGGCUCGUAUCGUGUCAACCUUGGCCUCUACGUAGAUUCGAUGCAAUAAAAAGUAGAAACAGGGAGAAA